ensembl:lncRNA
GAAGAGAGAGGGAGAGAGAGGAGGUGUCAUGUAUAGGAAGAGAGGAGGUGUUAUGCAUAGGAAGAGAGGGAGAGAGGAGAGGUGUCAUGCAUAGGAAGAGAGAGGGGGAGAGGAGAGAUGUCAUGCAUAGGAAGAGAGGGGGGAGAGGAGAGGUGUCAUGCAUAGGAAGAGAGGGGGAGAGAGGAGGUGUCAUGCAUAGGAAGAGAGAGGGAGAGAGAGGAGGUGUCAUGUAUAGGAAGAGAGGUGUUAUGCAUAGGAAGAGAGGGAGAGAGGAGAGGUGUCAUGCAUAGGAAGAGAGAGGGAGAGGAGAGGUAUCAUGUAUAGGAAGAGAGGGAGAGAGAGGAGGUGUCAUGCAUAGGGAGAGAGGAGAGGUGUCAUGCAUAGGAAGAGAGGGGGAGAGAGGUGUCAUGCAUAGGAAGAGAGGAGGUGUCAUGCAGAGGGAGAGAAUGGGAGAGGUGUCAUGCAUAGGAAGAGAGGGGGAUAGAGAGGUGUCAUGCAUAUGAAGAGAGAGGGAGAGGGGAGAGGUGUAAUGCAUAGGAAGAGAGAGGAGAGGUGUCAUGCACAGGAAGAGAGAGGAUAGGUGUCAUGCAGAGGGAGAGAGAGGAGAGGUGGCAUCAGCCCAUCUAAGACAGGUGUUUUGUUCAUUGAGCAUCAGCUCCUG